CCUACGGGAGGCAGCAGUGAGGAAUAUUGGUCAAUGGACGCAAGUCUGCACCAGCCAUGCCGCGUGCAGGAAGACUGCCCUAUGAGUUGUAAACUGCUUUUGUACGAGGGUAAACGCAGAUACGCGUAUCUGUUUGAAAGUACCGUACGAAUAAGGAUCGGCUAACUCCGUGCCAGCAGCCGCGGUAAUAAGGAGGAUUCAAGCGUUAUCCGGAUUUAUUGGGUUUAAAGGGUGCGUAGGCGGGUGGAUAAGUUACGGGUGAAAUCCCGAGGCCCAACCUCGGAAUUGCCGUUGAUACUGUUCGGCUAGAGAGUAGUUGCGGUAGGCGGAAUGUAUGGUGUAGCGAUGAAAUGCUUAGAGAUCAUACAGAACCCCGAUUGCGAAGGCAGCUUACCAAGCUACUUCUGACGUUGAGGCACGAAAGCGUGGGGAGCAAACAGGAUUAGAUACCCGGGUAGUC
rnacentral:rRNA from 1 species